rnacentral:sRNA from 1 species
UGCACGACGGUUUGAGCCAGCGUCCAUAUUCUGCUCAACUCGAUAUCGUCUGAGAACACCUAACAAUUCUCCAUUCAGGCAAGUCACGGAGUUAUUUAAGAGGAAAUAUAAUUGAGGUAUGCAAGUUGCCAGAAUCAUGCGAGUGGUGAAGGGAGAUAGGCAACAGACCAGUUGAGCCUUGAUUCCCGAAUAUAUAUUCCAGUGGAGAUAAUAUGAUUCCUUGUCACUCGUUAGUUAUUUAUAUCUGGCCGUUGAUGGGUGUAACAUUGACCCAGCGGCAAAGCCCCUUUUUUCUGUAUUAUUUAUUUCCUUUCAUUGUAAAUAUGCGCACCGCACUGUGGCCUGCAGCAAACACAAGAAAAAGAAAACACAAGGCA